AAGCACCGGCUAACUACGUGCCAGCAGCCGCGGUAAUACGUAGGGUGCGAGCGUUAAUCGGAAUUACUGGGCGUAAAGCGAGCGCAGACGGUUACUUAAGCAGGAUGUGAAAUCCCCGGGCUCAACCUGGGAACUGCGUUCUGAACUGGGUGACUAGAGUGUGUCAGAGGGAGGUAGAAUUCCACGUGUAGCAGUGAAAUGCGUAGAGAUGUGGAGGAAUACCGAUGGCGAAGGCAGCCUCCUGGGAUAACACUGACGUUCAUGCUCGAAAGCGUGGGUAGCAAACAGGAUUAGAUACCCUGGUAGUCCACGCCCUAAACGAUGUCAAUUAGCUGUUGGGCAACUUGAUUGCUUAGUAGCGUAGCUAACGCGUGAAAUUGACCGCCUGGGGAGUACGGUCGCAAGAUUAAAACUCAAAGGAAUUGACGGGGACCCGCACAAGCGGUGGAUGAUGUGGAUUAAUUCGAUGCAACGCGAAGAACCUUACCUGGUCUUGACAUGUACGGAAUCCUCCAGAGACGGAGGAGUGCCUUCGGGAGCCGUAACACAGGUGCUGCAUGGCUGUCGUCAGCUCGUGUCGUGAGAUGUUGGGUUAAGUCCCGCAACGAGCGCAACCCUUGUCAUUAGUUGCCAUCAUUUAGUUGGGCACUCUAAUGAGACUGCCGGUGACAAGCCGGAGGAAGGUGGGGAUGACGUCAAGUCCUCAUGGCCCUUAUGACCAGGGCUUCACACGUCAUACAAUGGUCGGUACAGAGGGUAGCCAAGCCGCGAGGUGGAGCCAAUCUCACAAAACCGAUCGUAGUCCGGAUUGCACUCUGCAACUCGAGUGCAUGAAGUCGGAAUCGCUAGUAAUCGCAGGUCAGCAUACUGCGGUGAAUACGUUCCCGGGUCUUGUACACACCGCCCGUCACACCAUGGGAGUGGGGGAUACCAGAAGUAGGUAGGGUAACCGCAAGGAGCCCGCUUACCACGGUAUGCUUCAUGACUGGGGUGAAGUCGUAACAAGGUAGCCGUAGGGGAACCUGCGGCUG
rnacentral:rRNA from 1 species